rnacentral:lncRNA from 1 species
CGCGGACGCCCACGCAGGCGCACGCGCCGUGGCGCCCCCGGGCGUAACCCCAGCUGCUGUGACGGGCCAGGGCUCGCAGCUCGCCUGCUAGAGUUUGUGGCGCGCCCUCGGGAUCAGGGCACUGGGGUUUGAAGGGGCUGCAGCGUGGGAAGCCUUCAAUUUUUUUUUUUUGUAAGCUGCGUGUGCUCAGAUUGAGGAAGCAGUUUUGUCACACAUGUUCAACACGUUCCACGCUGGUCACAAGCUAGCAAGGAUGAAACUAAUGGAAUAACAUCAACUAAGCCUUCCUGCUUCUCAGGCCCUGAGGAAUGGAGUGUACUAAUUAUGUACUCUGAAGCUAUAGGUGAGGAAACCUAGGCUCAAGUUGACACUCAAGCUCACCUUGCAAGAUAGUGGCAGAGCUGAUAAGAUCUCCUUCCUCUACCUUUAGUUUGCCGCUUCUAAUCUAAUGGACUUGGGAGAAGCCACUUACGAGAAUGGUAUAUAAGCCAAGAGCAAAUGAACUGACGUCUGAGGGGCUGGCUAUCCAAACAACAAAAGAUGGAGCAUCAGAUCAUUCAUUGAAGAGUUUCUUGCUCUUACAAGGUCUUUGCAAUGAUUUGAGAGAGGAAGUUGCUAUAUAAUGCUAUCUGGAUGAGUUCUUUGUAUUUUUACUCUGCAUUUUAUUAUUUAGUAUUUAUUCUGUGUUUUGGUUAUAUCACAAUAUUUUGGUAGUUUGUAAUAGAACUUCAAAAAUUCAGGUUUAUUUAUAAGGCAUAUUUUAAGAUGUCUAAUUUUCACAUAUGGAAAAUUUGAGGAAGAUAUUUGCUCAAAGCUACACAUCAUAUUUCAAGCACAGACAAGACUAGAAUUCAGACUUCCUGACCGUUAGGACUAUUCAAACAUUCAUAAUCCAUCAUCCAUCUAGGAGUUUCAGUAAAUAGGCCAUAGUCUUUAAGCUGUAGAAAAUUUUAUUUCUAAGGCCUUCAAAAUAGAUUCGUGAGGUACAAAAUGUUGCAUUCCAUUCUUUAUAAAGUGAUUUGAUUUGACCAUCCUCCCUGGUGAAAUAUUCUAUCUUUAUCAUUCUUGUGGGCCCCUGUUGGGUCUUGAGUAAUCAAAGGUAGGUACAAUGCCUUGGCUGGUGGUCCUCUCUGAUCAUUAGCCUUCUCUCCAAGCAGGCUGCAUCUCACUGUGCAUUUGCUCUUUUUCCAUUGUUACUUUAGGUUUGAGGGUCAUUGUUGUUUUCAUACCACAGUUGAGAAAUAACAAUCUUUACAAGCUUUCCAAUAGUGCCAUCUGUAAAUUUUCAAAGGUACUAUUUUUCUCAAAGGUCUUACAUCCCUUGUUUUUUGCUCCUCUAGGACUUAUAGACCUGUCUCCUCUCCCCAAGUCAGUGGGAAAUUCUUUUUCUUGUUUAUAAAGACAACGUUCUCCUUUGCUUCUUUCUAGACACUCUCCUUGUUUCUGUAAUUCCCCUUUGCACUUUUGCUUUCUUUGUCAACUCUGUUUGUUCUCCUAUGGGAUAGAUUUUAGAAACAGGGACAGAAAGUCUAGCAGGCUAAUUCUGCUUUUUCUUCUUUUACUGAGCACAUCUCACCUCUCCUCCACCCCAGAUUUUGAAAAGUUAACUGGAUACCUGCUUGAAUGUGAUGUGGGAAUGUAAGAAAUGUGUAUAAACACUGGUUGCUUCAAGGAGGAGGGAUUAAGGAUGAGACGGAAAAAGAUCAUUAAUAUUUUCUUUAUUCUCUUUUGUGAUUCUUGAUCUUUCAUAAUUAGCUUAUAUUAUCUUUUAAAUUCAAAACUCUAAUAAAGAAUUGGUUGAGUUUGGAAAAUAGACUAGAG